AUACCUUGUUCUACUUUAGAUGAAUUUUGUUUAUUAUUAUGUUUAAGAAUAGAGUUUCAGUAUUUUUGUAUUACUUAUUCUCAAACCUAUUUUUAGAAGAUCGUGAGUGUAAGAGCAGUGCAUUAUCUGACUCCGUAAUAAUCCAAUCAAGUGAAGAUGAGCUUGGUUCACCUCCAGUGAAAUUUUAAAAAAAACAGUGAAAGUUUGGAUUUGGCAGAGUUCAUAAACAUCCUAAUAACAAGGAAAGAUGGUGAAGCUAUCCUUAUUGAGCAUGAUAAAAACAUUUAUCUGAAAAAUCAAGGAGGGUUUUAGUUAAUAUGCUGGUUGCUCACAUGAUGGAUAAACAUGGACGGACACCAAAAUCAUCGAUUAAAAGUAAAUAUGCAGCAGGCAUAGUAAACCUCUUCACAUCACUAAAAGAUCCCCACACAGCUGGAGUAAGUAAUGCGAUAGUAAUUAAAUAUUAUUAUGCAGUCCAUAUGCAUACAACUUAUUCAUUUUUAAAGAAAGUAUUAUAUCAUUGCUGAGUUAAAUAAAACAGUCCAUUUUAAAAACUCACAGUAAUAUUCAAUAUACAACUGAUUGUCUUAAUAUAACUAUUUUAUUGUAGUUGAAUUGAUGAGAACUUGUUGAAAGGUCCUAAAUUGUUUAAAAUUAAAGCAAUAUUAGUUAUCUCAGCAUUGCAAGGGUAAUUUAAUUUUUGUUUAAUUUAACAAUAUAGUCAUUUGUUUGUUACGACUAUGUGUUUAAAAACUUUGAUCAAAACUGAUCAUUAUAAUUAUUUGAUGAUUGUUUAAAAAAAACCCAGAUUGUAGUAAUUUUUGAUAAUAGAUC